rnacentral:rRNA from 1 species
CAUGGCUCAGAUUGAACGCUGGCGGCAGGCCUAACACAUGCAAGUCGAACGGUAGCACAGAGAGCUUGCUCUCGGGUGACGAGUGGCGGACGGGUGAGUAAUGUCUGGGAAACUGCCUGAUGGAGGGGGAUAACUACUGGAAACGGUAGCUAAUACCGCAUAACGUCGCAAGACCAAAGAGGGGGACCUUCGGGCCUCUUGCCAUCAGAUGUGCCCAGAUGGGAUUAGCUAGUAGGUGGGGUAACGGCUCACCUAGGCGACGAUCCCUAGCUGGUCUGAGAGGAUGACCAGCCACACUGGAACUGAGACACGGUCCAGACUCCUACGGGAGGCAGCAGUGGGGAAUAUUGCACAAUGGGCGCAAGCCUGAUGCAGCCAUGCCGCGUGUAUGAAGAAGGCCUUCGGGUUGUAAAGUACUUUCAGCGGGGAGGAAGGUGUUGUGGUUAAUAACCGCAGCAA